GAGCCAACCUGGCCUGGUGACCUUCUCUGUGCAAGCAGGGAGCAGGCACACACCACCAAUGAGUGAAGAAGGCUGCUGUGGCAUGCUCGGGACCUAGAGGGAACCUGCCUCAUUGACAGGGGACAGCAGCUGCACAGCUCCAGACAAUCGUUGUCAAGGACGGGAAUGAGAUUCUAACAUGGCUGAUCUGAUUUUUCAAGAAAGAAAUGACUUCUGGCAACUGACAGGCUCCACGUUGAGUGUUCACACUGUGCCCAAUUCUGCCCUGAGCACUUUGCUUGGUUUCUCCACAACAAUAUUGUGAUCAGUAUAAUUACUGUUAUUCCCAUUUUAUAGAUGAGAAAAAUAGUAAUGGAGGAAAUGGAAGGAAAAAGGAUGGCCAUAAGUUGGAGGCAGGUGAAAGACCCAAAUUCAUGGAAGAGAAGUGAGUCACACAGGGAGCCAGUGGCAGAGCCACACCCCACAGAGCAAUCAACAUGCUCUACUCUGCAGACCUGCAACAGGGAGGGAAGCCAGACUCUGAUGCAAGAAGGAAAGACCAUGUGCUGGCUCAGUGUGUGCAGCCUGGACUGAGCUACUGAACUCUAAAUCCAAGGAUGACUAAUAGGCAGAAUGACAUUAAUACCAGACCUGAUGAAGACAGCACAAAAAGUAAAUCUCAACACAACCUCACAAUAUUAAUAAAGCAAAAAUUUUAAAUACA
rnacentral:lncRNA from 1 species